UUUAAGUGAUUGUCAAUCUUCAUUUGAUUUCAUAUGGUGUGUAUACUUAAUUUCUUUUCUUUUCAUUGUGUUUCACAUUUCAAGUUUAAGUUUAUAUCUCCUACAAUUUAGUUGGUGGUUCACCAGAUUCUUAUGGCUUUGGCAAGACAGCUGGUUGAUCCAGUUUUAGUGAUCUCAAAUUCUCUCCAGCAUUCUCUGAAUCACCUUCACAUGUCACUAUGUCUCUGUUGGUGUUGCUGAUUGACCCAGAACUUCAGAAGGAGUGCUUUUCGUAGGACCAGUUGUUAGUUCAAACGCAUUUGAGGCAUUGUGCGGUCUAAGAAAUGUGUAUAAGCUGGUUGAUAAUUCAGAUUCAGAUUUUUCCUUGCUAUUCAGUGCUCACACUUUCAAGAAAGCAAGGUGAUGAAUUGAUUGAAGUUGAUAUGGUUUCAUAAUUUUUUUGUCAAAGAUUCGAACACAAUUGCAACGCCAUCAACACAGAAGACAAAGCGUACAUCUCGGCGAACUAGCGUUGUGUACUGAGAAGCAAGAAAUCUGUCUAUACUAGUGUUAUGGCAUCCCAAUUGUUGUCGUUCUUUUCCUUUGCAUCACAUCAAGGAAGGAUUUUUUUGGAGACUAUUGAACAUACAUCAGCGGAUUAUUCAGAUGAGAAUAAGAUCGAAAAAGCAAUAUAUCAUCGUGGAAGGCUGAAUAACAUGAUAUGCUUGAUUGAGAUAGUGGUUUUGAAGUAGCAGUCUCUUUUGGGUUACAAUGUUGAGGGUGCCUGCAAAUCGAUUUUUAUGAGUUCUUCAAGAAGUGUUAUUCUGAUAUUGCUGACCCGGAGUAAGCUGCCAAGUAUAAUCCUUACUGGUUCAACAUCAGCUGAAGUUAUCGCAGAUAUUUCCCUUUGAUUUAUGAAGGCAGUAAAGGUAGGGUGCCUACCCGACCUGGUUUUUCUAGAGGAUUCUCUGAUGCGCUCGCCAAUUUUAUCAAGUUUGACGGAAUUGCCAAAAAAAAAAAGUUAAACAGAAUUGCCGGAAAGAUAAGGAGUUAAAGGAUCCUUACAGAGCUUCUGCUGGAAUCAAGCACAAAUAUACCAGUGUUUACAAGGAUUUCUGCACAAAGCCUCUUGAUAAUGGGUUCCUAGAGCACGGAAUACCGAGAGUCCAGAAACGGCUGUCUUACUAAUGCGCGAGGAAACUAUUACGGUUGGAGGCCAGAGAAUGAUUGCGAUCGCAAUCGAGCGCUUCUAUUAUUUGGAACAGGGUGGCAGAAAAGCUGCUAAGUGCGGGGACCUGAAAGCGAGCGAGAUGUUUGGUUUGUAGUGCGUAGAACCAUUUGUUACAUUUGCGUUAUGUUGUGGAAGUUGGUCAUUUCCUUUGUGAGAGUGUGCCCAACGUCUCGAGUUGGAAGCGAGUUGGAAGUAGCAAAGAGAGAGUAUAUGCAGGCAGCAGUUGGAGUAUCGAAGAAUAACAAGCUGUUAAUACCGAAGCUGAUGUAUUGGUAUCAACUUGACUUUGCGAAGGAUUUAGACUCGUUGGUUGAUUUGGGUUUGUCUCCGGUUACGAUGCAAAUUAAUGCAUGAAUGAUGUAUUUAUUAUCAAAUGUUGUAAAGUAUAUAUCUCCAAUUAUAAAUUAGGAAUUUUUUUAAGAUAAUGUAGUCCUUUAAAAUUUAAAUUUGUUUGUCAUUUGUGCUUAACAUAUAGA